rnacentral:rRNA from 1 species
GUGCCAGCAGCCGCGGUAAUUCCAGCUCCAAUAGCGUAUAUUAAAGUUGUUGUGGUUAAAAAGCUCGUAGUUGAACCUUGGGCCUGGCUGGCCGGUCCGCCUCACCGCGUGCACUGGUCCGGCCGGGCCUUUCCCUCUGUGGAACCCCAUACCCUUCACUGGGCGUGGCGGGGAAACAGGACAUUUACUUUGAAAAAAUUAGAGUGCUCCAGGCAGGCCCAUGCUCGAAUACAUUAGCAUGGAAUAAUAAAAUAGGACGCGCGGUUCUAUUUUGUUGGUUUAUAGGACCGCCGUAAUGAUUAAUAGGGACAGUCGGGGGCAUCAGUAUUCAACUGUCAGAGGUGAAAUUCUUGGAUCAGUUGAAGACUAACUACUGCGAAAGCAUUUGCCAAGGAUGUUUUCAUUAAUCAGGAACGAAAGUUAGGGGAUCGAAGACGAUCAGAUACCGUCGUAGUCUUAACCAUAAACUAUGCCGACUAGGGAUCGGACGGUGUUAUUCAUGACCCGUUCGGCACCUUACGAGAAAUCAAAAGUGCUUGGGCUCCAGGGGGGAGUAUGAUCGCAAAGACUGAAACUUUAAGAAAUUGACGGAAGGGCACCACCAGGGGUGAAGCCUGCGGCUUAAUAUUGACUCAACACGAGGGAAGCUCACCAGGUCCAGACACAAUAAAGGAUUGACAGAUUGAGAGCUCCUUCCUGAAUUUGUGGGUGGUGGUUGCAUUGCCGGUCUAGUUGUGGGGGUGCCUUUGUCUUGCUUAUUUGCCAUACCGACGAGAACUUUAACCUGCUCAAUUAGCCGCAUUCUCCGACAGUCGCCCUGGC